AUUUAGUGUAUGUUAACGUGUCUACGGUAAAAUACGGAGACAAGUGAGUAAUGGAUUAUGCGUCUAAUUCUUGUGCUUUUCGUAAAAUUUUUGAUUCAAAGCAGAGCUUCUGACCUUUCUGUUGCAGGAGGACGGACAUGCAUACACGUACAAGUCGUUGUUGUGUGGCAAGAACACGAGCGUGCAUUUUUUCGGUUGCCGGUUUUGUUUUACUUGGCGAGAAUAAUUGGUUGGUUGGACGCGUUAGGCUGACGGCUACACAGUCGGCAAUUACAAACGGUUAAUGAAAGUUUCAUUUCGUAGAAAAAACUGAAGUUUUAAAGAAAAAAACAAAGUCAAAAGUCAAAGUGUUUUGUUGGCUGAGCGGGAUGUGUUGCGCGAUUCAGUAUGUCGUUAAAUAGCGUUUGUAUUGUGUGUGUGCCGCAGCCGACAACGAGUGUCGUGAGUCGUUGAAACGGCUUUUCUGUGCUUACUCGGUAGCACUCAAAUAUCCUGCCAGUUAUUUAAGCUAUGUGUUGGUGGGUGAAUAUACUUGUAUGUUAUUUUUUCUUGUAGCAAGCAAUUAAAUAUAAUUUUACGCUUAUAUAAAGUGCGUUGUUGUCUUGUCAGGUGUACAGAAAUGUUUUUUUAAGUACUUUGUGUAAGUGUAGUUGAUUUUUUUUUAGAAAAAUUUGCACUUCUGGCAUAAAGUUUGUGCAAACGUCAAUUUUUAGUAAAGCAAACAGAAAGAAUUAAUAAAUUGAAAAAAUUCGCUAUUAUUGUGCCAAAUCAAGAUUUUUGGGUUAACGGGCUUUACAUCCUUCUUAGUGCCUGGAUAUCCUACCACUUUGCAUGUGACGUUGCAAUCUGCUGAUGAAGUGACAAAAUAAAUCUGAAACGCAAGAUUUAUUUAAUGGAAUGAUUUAACGGUAUAAAGGAGUUGAAAAUAAGUGUAUAAUGACUCCUUUGGCGCCGCGAUGUGAAGGUGCCGUUGGAAAGAGGAAGUCUUCUUGAUUAAAAAAUAUUCCGGAUUAUAGGUACCGCAAACGCUUAGAUUAUUCGACUUAAAGGUCAUUAACGUCAAAUGUUGUCAAUUACGUUUGCUGGCAUAUUUGGCAAAGCACGGUCAUAUGAAAUGACAACCAAAUCAAAAUAAUUAAACUUCGAUUUAUGGCAAUAUUAGACAUUUAAAUUAAUUUUGCCGCGAUGCUGGAAUUUGGUUUUGUUUGCCGUUCGAAAACUGCUAAAAAGGAUAACGUAUUUUCAAAAAGUUUUUUGACGAUUUCGAGUUUCAGCAUCUAGUUCAAGAAGUUGAAUCCAGGGAAGGAUCAUGGAAGUUCCUUUCCACUGUAUAUAGGGACAGAACCCUUCGAGAAGCUCAGUAACAUGAGGUGGCUGAAAUAUGAAUGGAACAACUCUAGCUACUCUUUAUACGUGGCCUUUAAUUGUAUAAGUCACACAAGAAGUGAAAAAGGAAGAACGUCCACGGUGAGGCCACUCUAUAUAUCAUUGAAGUUUCUAGAGCCGACUUUGCGUGCUGAAGCGAACUCCACUUCAAAUCUAAUAAAUGUCAGUCUAUCGGCCUCGAGCUCUCCAACAACAUUGUUGGAGUCAGAAAUUAGUCGGAUAUACCAUUAACGUCAUCCAGAUCACAUGGUAAUUGAGGAAGACGUCGAGUGCAAAAAUUCAGUGAUGAGUAUACUCAACUAGUUGAACGUGCGCUAGAGUCCCUCACAUCAGCAACUAAAACUGAUGGUUGGGAUGAGUUAGGCAAGAAUAUCCACAAUAAGCAAAGGAGUUCAAGCAAGUUGAAUUGAUAUUCAUCUACUAAAAGAAAUUACCAGGCUCCACAUCAUGCCGUUCAAAUUGGCAAUACUUUUUUUCUAUGCUAGUCAAAUGUAAUGUUCCUUAUCUUUUUUAACAUUUCUUUCAAGUGAGAAAGCAAACUUUUAAAAUAGUUUUAAUUAUAAUUAUAAUUAAUAAAACUAAGUAUGUAAUAUUUUUUGUAUAACAUAUACAUUUAUAAAAAAACUA